rnacentral:rRNA from 1 species
UGCAAGUCGAACGGAAAGGCCCUGCUUGCAGGGUACUCGAGUGGCGAACGGGUGAGUAACACGUGGGUGAUCUGCCCUGCACUUCGGGAUAAGCCUGGGAAACUGGGUCUAAUACCGGAUAGGACCAUCGUUUAGUGUCGGUGGUGGAAAGUUUUUUCGGUGUGGGAUGAGCUCGCGGCCUAUCAGCUUGUUGGUGGGGUAAUGGCCUACCAAGGCGUCGACGGGUAGCCGGCCUGAGAGGGUGGACGGCCACAUUGGGACUGAGACACGGCCCAAACUCCUACGGGAGGCAGCAGUAGGGAAUCUUCCACAAUGGACGCAAGUCUGAUGGAGCAACGCCGCGUGAGUGAAGAAGGCUUUCGGGUCGUAAAACUCUGUUGUUGGAGAAGAAUGGUCGGCAGAGUAACUGUUGUCGGCGUGACGGUAUCCAACCAGAAAGCCACGGCUAACUAC